AUUGAACGCUGGCGGCAGGCCUACCACAUGCAAGUCGAACGAGUGGCGGACGGGUGAGUAAUGUCUGGGAACCUGCCCGAUGGAGGGGGAUAAAUCCUGGAAACGGUAGCUAAUACCGCAUACCAUCGGAUGUGCCCAGAUGGAAUUAGCUAGUAGGUGGGGUAACGGCUCACCUAGGCGAGGAUCCCUAGCUGGUCGGAGAGGAUGACCAGCCACACUGGAACGGAGACACGGUCCAGACUCCUACGGGAGGCAGCAGUGGGGAAUAUUGCACAAUGGGCGCAAGCCUGAUGCAGCCAUGCCGCGUGUAUGAAGAAGGCCUUAGGGUUGUAAAGUACUUUCAGCGGGGAGGCGUUACUCGCAGAAGAAGCACCGGCUAACUCCGUGCCAGCAGCCGCGGUAAUUC
rnacentral:rRNA from 1 species